GGCUCAGGAUGAACGCUAGCGGCAGGCUUAACACAUGCAAGUCGAGGGGCAUCGGGAGUAGCAAUACUUGCCGGCGACCGGCGCAAGGGUGCGUAACGCGUGAGCAACAUGCCCGUAUCAGGGGGAUAAUCCAUGGAAACGUGGUCUAAUACCCCAUAGUAAUUAUGUAAGGCAUCUUAUAUAAUUUAAAGCUUUGGUGGAUACGGAUUGGCUCGCGUGACAUUAGCUAGAUGGUAAGGUAACGGCUUACCAUGGCUACGAUGUCAAGGGGUUCUGAGAGGAAGGCCCCCCACACUGGAACUGAGACACGGUCCAGACUCCUACGGGAGGCAGCAGUGAGGAAUAUUGGACAAUGGAUGGAAAUCUGAUCCAGCCAUGCCGCGUGCAGGAAAGACGGCCCUAUGGGUUGUAAACUGCUUUUGUAUGGGAGCAAUAAGGGCUACGCGUAGUCCGAUGAGAGUACCAUACGAAUAAGCACCGGCUAACUCCGUGCCAGCAGCCGC
rnacentral:rRNA from 1 species